UUUCCUUUCGCGCUCGCGUCACGUUGUACGGGGUAAUCAGGUUCGAUUCCGGAGAGGAGCUGAGAAUGGCCACCACAUCCAAGGGAGGCAGCAGGCGCGUAAAUUACCCAAUCCAGAAUCUGGGAGGUGGUGACGAGAAAUACUAGAUGGCUUCCUUAUAGGAUGUCAUACUGGAAUGGACGUAAUUUAAGUAAUUCGAUGAGUAACAACUGGAGGGCAAGUCUGGUGCCAGCAGCCGCGGUAAUUCCAGCUCCAGUAGUGUAUCUUAAAGUUGCUGCGUUUAAAACGCUCGUAGUUGGAUUACGCAGUGUAGGUUAGUCGAUUGGCAUGAUAUUGCACUCAAUCCAGCUGGUUGUUUUUUUCACCACGGUAUAUCCUGGAGUUGAUUGCAGCUAGUUGGAGCAAUACGUGUUGAUUUAUAGCUAGCCUAUGCUACUUUUUCGUGAGGAUGGCAAUUGACCUUUAGUGUGUUGAAUGUCGUGUCUUACGAAGUGUGCCUUGAAUAAAUCAGAGUGCUCAAAGCAGGGCAUUAGCUUGAAUGUUGAUAGCAUGGAACGAACAAUUGUGACUCCGUGUUCAAGGUGAAAUUUCUUAGGGGAUUUAUUGUUCGCUAGGGUUAUGUAUCUUUUGAACACAGCACCAACCGCCAUUAUCGGGAUGUUGGUUUCCGUAAUGGGGUGAUGAAUUAAAAGGAGCGGUUGGGGGCAUUGGUAUUUGCCGCGAGAGGUGAAAUUCUUGGACCGGCAAGGACUAACAAAUGCGAAGGCUUCUGCCAAGACCGUUUCCAUUAAUCAAGACGAUAGUGAGAGGUCGAAGACGAUCAGAUACCGUCCUAGUUCUCACUGUUAACUUAUUGCCGCCCCCGGGAUCAGUUUUCGAGCUUUAGAAAAUGCUCGUGGUUGGUCCCCCUGGGAAACCUCAAGUUUUUAGGUUACCGGGGGGAGUAUUGGUGCAAGGCUGAAACUUAAAAGGAAUUGGACGGAAAGGGCACCCACCGGGGGUGGGAGCCUGGCGGCUUAAUUUUGCCUUCAACCAGGGGUAAAACCUCAACCUAUGAUCCGGACAAUUCGAUAUAGGAUAAGACAGGACCUUAAUAGAAUCCUUUCCUUGGAUACGGUGGUUGGUGGUGCAUGGCCGUUCUUAAGUUCGUGGAGUGAUCUGUUCAGGUUGAUUCCGGUAACGGGACGAGACCACGGUUUUCAUUUUAUGGUACCGGAGAAGGUUUACAGUUAAAUUGGCAACAAUUGAGCUGUAACUAUUGGAAAGGGUAUUUGUUGGUUUGCGCCGCAUUUUUGAGGACUUGGUGGUCUAGGCUGUCAAGAAAUUUUGAAUGAGGUGUGAUAGUAAUGGGUAUUCUCCCUCCGGUUAAACAUUGCAGGGUUACGCUCUGUGAUGUGCUAUGAAAAGACAACCAAGUAUACUUUAGAAGUUGGAGGAAGCAGUGGCGAUAACAGGUCUGUGAUGCCCUUAGAUGUCUAGGGCCGCACGCGCGCUACAAUGAUAGCAACAAUGAGUGUCUUGGUCGAAAGACCCGGGUAAACUUUUAAAUUGCUAUCGUGAUGGGGAUUGAUCGUUGUAAUUUUCGGUCAUGAAAGAGGAAUCCCUAGUAUGCAUGCGUCAUUAGCGUAUGCAGAUUAAGUCCCUGCCCUUUGUACACACCGCCCGUCGCUACUACCGAGUGAAUCGUGUCAUGAUGCCUUGGGACCGGACAUCAUUCAGGUGGUUUCCAUUUAGAGUGAUGCUGGGAUCAAGAAAAACAAAAAAGGGGACCAC
rnacentral:rRNA from 1 species